rnacentral:lncRNA from 1 species
GGGUGGGGCUCAGAAAUUUUUAACAAGUCUUCCAGGUGAUUCUGAUGCAUACUAAGUUUCGGGAACCAUGGCUGUAAUCAAAUCUGGCUCUCCAGAGGACUCUGCUCUCUUGCAGGCCUCCCAAGUGGAAGCUGUUUUUCAGUUGCAUUCCCUGGACCACUGGCUUGGGAUGGAGAAACAGAGGCUCAAAGUGAAGAAGUGAAAAGUAACUUGCUCAAUGUCACAUGGAAGUUACCCACAUGGAGCAAAAAUCAGUUAUUCCAGUUAAUACAAGCUUCAUGGUGUGCCGAUUGUGUGUCAGGCCCUGGGCUAGCGAGGGGAGCAUGUUGUUUCUCCUUCCUUCCCCUGGGCCCUCUCUCCAUGUUGCAAGAUCUCUUCUCUACUUGGGCAGCUCUAGGACUGAUCCAGAAGAAAGGGGAGCACUAGGCUCCAUUGCCUCCAGCCCCUGUAAGGAGGCUGUUGCACCCCGGCUGCUUUAUUCUUGGAGUCGCUCCUGCUGCAGGAGGCCAGAGGCCCAAUACCUUCAGCCCCCACCUCAACGGUGGCUUCACUUCAGCCUUUAUUUUACUCUUCACCCUUGAGGCUCUCUCAGCUGAAUGGCCUGGGACCAACAAUUCCAAAAAGACUCUUCUUCAAAAAGAUUGUCUUGGUGGCUUUUCUUCUCUGAUCUCUCUGCUUGCUUGACACACAGCUUAACCGCUAAUGCUUCAUUGGGAAGAGAAUUCCAGGGUGACUGGAGUGAGCGAAAAGGGAAGUGUGGCAAAGAACAGUGGGAAGCAAAUGCAAGAUGAUGUGUUACCAUGCUGACCGCUGCUUCACAAAGAGCCGCAAAGAGACAAAGCCAUUUCAUCAGCUGUGCACCUGCUUGGCCAUGUGUGGCAAUGUUUGGACAGACAGCACAGCAAAGUCCUGCAUCUAAACAGCCCAUCUGGUGGGAAGAAGUGAGAUGAUAUCUAUCUGCCAGCUUUCCUUCAUCUUCUGCUUCCUAAUGGUCACAGUUUGCCUUGUGGGAGUUGACUCCCUUACACUUAAGAAGUUCAAUCACCUGGUCCCUAUGGGAGAUUUGGGGAAGCCAGAUACCCCUCCGUGUGAUGUGUGCUUCUGGAAUCAAAGUCUAAAAAUGGCAGGAGGAACCAGAAACACUAGACAUGUCGCUUGUUUGGCCUCAGGCAUAAAAUCAUGUGUCAGACCCACAAGUACGUCUCCGGGUCAGUGGCCGAGAUGGAGGAAUUUGCUGAGGAUCUACGAAACAG